AGCAGCAGCCGCGGUAAUACGGGGGGGGCAAGUGUUAUUCGGAAUGACUGGGCGUAAAGAGCUCGUAGGCGGUUUGUCGCGUCUGCUGUGAAAACUGGAGGCUCAACCUCCAGCCUGCAGUGGGUACGGGCAGACUAGAGUGCGGUAGGGGAGAUUGGAAUUCCUGGUGUAGCGGUGGAAUGCGCAGAUAUCAGGAGGAACACCGAUGGCGAAGGCAGAUCUCUGGGCCGUAACUGACGCUGAGGAGCGAAAGCGUGGGGAGCGAACAGGAUUAGAUACCCCAGUAGUCCCUGUCUCUUAUAC
rnacentral:rRNA from 1 species